rnacentral:lncRNA from 1 species
CGCUAUUUAAAAUUUUAUUUCUUCAGUAAAAAUCUAUGAUUAUUUGGGACGUAAUUUUAUUAUACUUAUUGUAUAUUUUACUUACGUUAUAUAAAAUGCGUAUUAACAUUGGUUUUAUUAGUUAUAUGGUUGCCAUUAUAGUAGCAGAUUAGUCUCUUCAAACAAAAUUUACUUUUGAAUUUAAUCUUUGCAUGGAAGAACUUAUUAGCCAUUUACGUUGAAAAGUAAGAAACAAUUUUGUUGAGAUAAUGUUAAAAGUUUAUCACACUGUAAUAUAUUUUUUAAAAUUAUAAGCAACAAAAACUCGACUUCUAGUCUUUUUAAUCUAAAAACUCAUAUAACAAUUGAUAUAGUUUAAAACGCUCUUUUUAAUUUUUAGAAGAUGAGUUUUAUGGGAAUUCAGACUUUUGGAUGAAGAUGGUGAGUCCUAUUGGAAAAAUAAAGCUUAAAAGAAAAAGUGAAAGAAGGAAAAUGAGAUAGAUUGAAAUAGCUUUGAAUGUUUUCUGCUAACUAUUUUUAAUUUUCAUAAUUUGUCUUUUGAAGACCAACUUAAUGAUAACGGUUAAUCAAUUCUACCCUUUUCACAUUUCUUUACCAUACUGUAUCUACAUAUGUAUAUACAGUUAUUACCUUGAUAAUUGAUUAAAAUUAGAUAAUUAAGUGUAAGUGCUUCAAAAUAUAAAUAAAUUUGUCGACCAUACAAGCAUGAUACCAUAAAGUUUUCUUAAAAAAUUAUAGAAAUAAAACUUAGAGGAUCACAAUCACUUAAUAAUUUUUUAUUUUAAAUUAGUGUUUUAAGAACAAAAAAUACGUAAUAAAAAUUAGCUAAAUUUUUAGAUUCAAAACUACAGAUGUUUCACAUUUUUAAUGUACACAUAUGGUAUACAUAAAAAAAGCAUGUGGUAAAUUUGUAUUUAUUUUUUUUUAUUUUGUCAUAAUACUAUUAUAUAAAAGAACUUUAUCAAAAUCCUUACAAGAUAUCAAGAUUCUGAUAAGGUAGAAAUUUGUAAUAUGUUACUGGAUUUUUUUUGUCUUCAAAUGCAUUUGUUAUUUUCAGAGAAACCAAAGUUUAUUAAACAAUUUGAUAUUUUUCUUAAUAUUCAAAAGUCUUAGCUUCAUGAAAAAUUUUAUCAUUUAUUCUGUUUUUUUAUUAAGUAUGAAUGCUUGAUCAACAUGAUAAAUUUUUAUUUCAUCCCUAAAUUCUCAUUAUUUUUUCAUUGAUUGCAUAGUUUUUAUUAAUUAAUGUGAUACAUUUGUUUAUUUCAUUUGAAAAAUUUAAUAUACUUCACAAUAAUAUGAUUAGUUAUUUUAAUGCGAUAUUUUUGUUUAAAUCAUAUAUUUAUAUACUAAUAUAUAAAACUUGGUUAAAAUCUAAUAUCGAAAAUAUGAUUUAAUUGUUAAUAAAAAUUCUAAAAUACAUUUUUACAUCCAACGUUGUGUAAUAUAAAAAAUAUAAGAUGAUAAUGACAACAUUUUAAACUAUAAACUAAAGGUUUAUAUGGUCACAAUAUUUAGCACAUUGUGAGCUUUUUAAAUUAUUAUAUACUCGUACAAACUUUAUUUUGUAAUAUUAACUUAAUUUAAUACUAAUCUUGUAAAUUUAAUUAAUUGAUGUAUUUGUAAGUUUUUUGAGUUAGCUUUAACUUAUUACUGAUCUCGUAUGAAAUUUUAAAAGGUAAUUUUAUAUAAAAAAAAUUAUUUCACCGCAUGGUCUAUUAAAUCUUAAAAAUAAAAAAAUCAUCCUCUUGUAAAUUUUUCUAUUCAAAUAGUUAAUUGUUUCUCUCUUCCAUAGCUCAUAGUCAACAUAUUUUUUCCUCACAUUAUGUUGUCUGUUAAUUGAUCAAUAAAGAUGUGUAUAAAUACAUACAAUUCACUUAGUACUCUCCGAUCGUCAUCAAUCAGUUAUCACUUUGGUUGCCAUAGUCCAUGUUCUUGAGUCUGAGGAUCAUGAAUAGCAAUAAGUUUAAAGUCCUCAUACCACUAAACUUGGUUCCAAAAUGGAACUCAAAAUCAUACCCAAAACCUAGUGGCUCCCUUAUUAACCUCAAUAUCCCUCCCAUGAAAUCAAUGAACCGGAUUUAAUUGGAUACUAUGUUAUUUGUGCUUUAGACCCUUUAAUAAUUUCUUAAAUUUAAUAUUUUUUUUAUUCCUUAUUUAUUUUACUAAUAUGUAAAAUUAUUAUAAUUUAAUUACUUCAAUGAUUAUUUAGAUUAUUAUAGUAAAUCAUGUUAUUUUGUUUACUUAGAUUUUUAAUUAUAUUCCUUUUUUAUUAAUUUAAAUAUUUAUUUUAUCUAAAUUUAAAUUUUACUUUAGUUUUAUUUUUAUUUUUAUUUUUAUUUUAAUGCCACUAUCACAAUUACCUUACCCAAUUUCCAUUUCAUAUUACACUUAACCAUUUACUAAUUUAACUUUUACAAAUUUCCAUUUUUUUCCAAUUUUUAUUAAUUUUUCUUUCCUAAUUCUUUGUGACGGCCUGCAGUUCCCCAACGAGAAACCAUACCGCCAAACACAACUGAACAAGAAGAUACAACAUAAAAUUUUAAAAUAAAAGUAUAACAGAAGCUAUUUAUCCCUUGUACAACAUGUAACAUAAUUUACGUUAUGAAGUUAUCGAAAACUGUAGAGUCCACAACUAGAUUAAAACUCACCAAAUGAAAACUAAACAUGAAAUUCCAAUUUUGGCUCUAUAAAUUAUCUCCAUCGACUUUAUUUGAAAAAAAUUAGAAUUUGAAUGGAAUGAGAAAAACAACGGGCUCAGUAAGUAUAUCGAAUAGACAAUACCCUAGGCAUGCGACAUACCUGCAUACAGUCAAUCAGAAAUGUAAAAAUUUUCUUUCCCUUUAUAUUUGAAAACCAUGAAAUGCAGAUAUAUUUCAUUUCCUAUUUCAUCUCUCAUUGUUCCCCUUACCUUCCUUUUUAUCUACCCUUUUCCCCGUUAUUCUCCUUUACUAGUUAUCUCUCAAAAUUCAUCUUUCUCAUUAUUUCCUCAUUAUCCCCCUAAUUUCUUUCCUUUCAUAAUUCCCUAAUUGUAACUACUCAUAUCGCACACUAUUAUCACAUCACAUCUAUUUCCAAAACCAUACUCAUCUAUCAGUUUCUCUCUAAUCCAUAUUUAUCCCACAAAUCAACAUAUCAGAGUUUCUUACAAAUUUAUAGCCAAAUCGAGACAUCCGUAACCCCUCAACGGGUAUCCCCGAUUCUCGAUUUGCUCUAACACAAAUCAUCAAAUUAAAGUUAUUAAAGUUUUAGAAUUUUUUUGAGAUAUAAUGGGUGUAUCUGUUAUUCAAUUGGUACACUAUGGGAUCAGAUUCCCACUAUCACAAGGGAUGGACAUACACCAAAACACACACGAUGNNNNNNNNNNNNNNNNNNNNNNNNNNNNNNNNNNNNNNNNNNNNNNNNNNNNNNNNNNNNNNNNNNNNUUAUUUUUCUUAUUAUUCUAGUUAAGAUUAAUAUUAUUUAUUUUUUUUUUCUAACAAACUAAUUAUAUUUUCUAGAGACUUUGUACACUUUCUUAGUUAACCAUACUCUAUAUCUCACACUAUUUUAAUUCUCUCAAUUUGUCUUUUUUUCAUCCUUAUAGAACUCACUAACUCCCUUUAAUCAUACACUUUUCUGUUUAUUGUAAUUUAUUUAGUUAUCAUUUUGUUUAUAAUUCAUGUUUUAAUGUUUUAAUUAUUUUUAGUUUUUAGUUUUAUUAGUUUUAUUUAGAAUCCCUAAUUUGAUAUAAGAAUAUGUAUUUUUUUUGUUAAUCUUAUUUUAUUUGUUAGAGUCAUUUUAUAUGUUCAUGAUCUUAUUGGUGAAUUUGCACUAUUAUUAAUUUUUUACUCAGACUAUUCAUCAUACCAUCAACCAUCAACCAUCAACCAUAUAGUAUUUAAAACAUGCAAUAUUCAUUCAACAAUCAAGCAACAAGCAAAAUAUUCAGUAUCACCAUUUUUCAAUUUCUUUCACUUACUUGAUUAUCAAUCCUGAUUCCUCAAUUUUAUAAACCUUACUUAAAACUUAGUUAGGUUUUUGCUCGAAAACAUUUUUGAAAACAUGCAAAUGUGGCUUCGGGAUAGCUACUAGAUAUACUUACCUUCUCGGAUGACUAAGGCAUCGAUUUACGCUCCUUUACGCUCUCCCCAAUUCCAUGGCCUACGUGAAGCUAUAUAUCGAUUAUUAGAUACCUUUCUUUUUAUUGAAAUAAUUUUAUAAUUACUAAUAACUCACAUAGAUUUCUAAGUCUAAUUACUCAACUUACCUAAAAUCAAUUCUAAAUCUAACUUAAUGAAUUAACACAAAUAUAUGGGUUUUUCAGAAUUUACCUUCAACGAGUUUGGGAUUCCAAAAAGAGAUACAUCCCGCUUCGUUGUAGGAAGCGGUUGGCUUAGCAUGAACCCCAUGGUCAUCAACACGGUAACCCAAAAUGGUAUCAGGUUGCAAUUCUCUCCACCUCUCGUCUACCGCUCCAAUGUUUUCCUCGUUCACAAUCGAAAUGCUACGAAAUAAAAGGCAAAUGAUUUUACCUUCAAAUUUGGGGUCCCCGAAUACUGGAGCCACCACACACCACCAUGUGCGUCACCGGAAUAGUCACGCACUACCGUACGUGCCACCGUGAUUAGUACGCACCUCCGCUCGAUCCAACAGUAGAUCAAGCCAUGCCCUGCCUUUUUCUUCUCUUUUUUUUUCCUUCUCUCUUUUUUUUUUGUUUCUUUUCCUUUUUUUCUUUUUCAUCUCUUUUUUUUUCCCUUUUUUUCCAUCUUUUAUUUUCUUUUUUUUCUUUCAUUUUCUUUUAUUUUCUUUUCUUUUAUUCUUUUUUUCUUUUUUUUUUCUUUUUUUCUCUUUUCUUUGUUUUUCUUUGUUUCUCUUUUUUCUACUUCUUUUUUUUUUCCCUCUUCUUCCCUUUGGUUGUUUCCUCUUUCCCCUGCCAUGUCCACCAUUGCCACCGCAUUGGAUUCCUCUGUUCUGCGAAACUGCCACACCCGAAGUCCCUUCUUUCCGACUGCACACAUCGCACACUUCUCUCCUCUGCAGGAUCGUUGCACAUCGUGCCAAUUGUUCAAAUCUGCUUCCUCUCUUGGCUUCAUCCGCCAAGGUAGAGGAAUGUGUAUUUUUUUGUUGAUUUUAUUUUAUUUGUGAGAGUUAUUUUAUGUGUUCAUAAUUUUAUUGGUGAAUAUGCAUUAUUAUUAAUAUUCUACUCAAACUAUUUAACUCAUCAUAUCAUUAACUAUUAUACAGUAUUUAAAACAUGCAAUCUUCAUUCAACAAUCAAGCCACAAGCAAAUGACAAAUUAAAACAUUGAGUAUCACCAUUUUCCUAUUUCUUCCAACUACUUGAUUAUCAAUGUUGAUUCCUUAAUUUUAUAAACCUUACUCCAAACUUAAUUAGGUUUUCAUUUGAAAACAUUUUUAAAAACAUGCGAAUGUGGCUUUGGGAUAGCUACUAAAUAUAUUUACAAACUUUGGAGUUAAAGGAUUCUGAUUUGAGUUCCAAACACUAUCCAAAUAUUAGCAAAAACAUGCAUAGCAACUAAACCCUCUCGGGUUAGCGGUGAACCCAAGAGUUUCAUGCAAUCAUAUUACAUGCUCAUCUCAUUUCUACAACUAUUCAAGUUACUAAGGCAAUUAUUCAAUUUAACUUUUCUUUGUUUUGUCUAUUUGAUUAAUUACAUAAUUUCGUAAAUAAUACUUUCUUAUCAUUUUAUAUUAAUCUAGCUUUAAUUAAUUAAUAAUUUCUUUAAUUUAUUUUAUCUAUUAUUUAUUCAAUUCUAAAAGAAAUCAUUACAAAUAUUCUUUUCCUAUUUUCUUAAAUUAUUUUCUUAUAUCAUCUAUUUUAUUCAUAACAAAAUUUAUUAAUUUAUUUACAUAUUUAUUAAAUCAAAAUGAUUUCCAAAAUUUAUUCCUUUUAGUAUUUUAAAUUACCUUUACCUAUGUACUAUAGAUUAUGGCUAAUUAGUCUAGUUAUCAAUUACUUAUCAAAUCAAAUUUAAUUCUUAUUAAUUAUUUAUUCAAUCAAUUUGAAUUCUCUGUAAUUUUAUAUUCAAUUAAAUUCAACUCUACUAACUAUCAUAAUUUACCUAAUUCUUAAAUUUUAAUUUUUUUAUUCUUCUCGUCCAUAUAUAUAUAUACACGUACACAUACAUAUGCUUAUAUAUUUAUAUACACAUAACACAUUCAUUUAUUAUGACAUAUUUAUAUAUGUAUCAUAUUAUUUUUUAAAAAUUUAUAUCAUAACAUACAAUUAUAUAAUUAUAAUUAUAAAACUUAUAACAUUACUUAUAUAUAUAUAUAAAUAUAUAAAUCUCCCUUCAUUAUCAUUUAUUUUUAUGACAUAUAUUUAUAUAUUGUGUUAAUCAUACUUAUCAUCAUUUAAACUCAUUUAUAUAUAUAUAAACUAUACAUACAUAUAUUA